rnacentral:rRNA from 1 species
CGCUGGCGGCGUGCCUAACACAUGCAAGUCAACUUGACUGAAGGAGCAAUCUGACAGUAGAGUGGCGCAAGGGUGCGUAACGCGUAAGUAACUUGCCCCAAGGUAAGGAAUAACGUCGAGAAAUCGGCGCUAAUACCUCAUAAUGCAGCGGAUCCGCAUGGAUAUGUUGUUAAAGGUUUACCGCCUUGGGAUAGGCUUGCGUCUGAUUAGCUAGUUGGUGUGGUAACGGCACACCAAGGCUACGAUCAGUAACUGGUCUGAGAGGAUGAUCAGUCACACUGGAACUGAGACACGGUCCAGACUCCUACGGGAGGCAGCAGUGAGGAAUAUUGGGCAAUGCUCAAAAGAGUGACCCAGCAACGCCGCGUGGAGGAUGAAGGUAUUCUAUAUCGUAAACUCCUGUGAGAGCAGACGAAAGACAGAUUAUUAAUCUGGAUGACUGUAUGCUCAGAGGAAGCCCCGGCUAACUACGUG